ACAGAGGUCUCAAGCGUUGUUCGGAUUCAUUGGGCGUAAAGGGUGCGUAGGUUGUAGGAUAAGUUGGAUGUGAAAUCCCGGGGCUUAACCCCGGAACUGCAUUCAAUACUGUUUUACUAGAGUACUGGAGAGGAGAUUGGAAUUCACGGUGUAGCAGUGAAAUGCGUAGAUAUCGUGAGGAAGACCAGUGGCGAAGGCGAAUCUCUGGACAGUUACUGACACUGAGGCACGAAGGCCAGGGGAGCAAACGG
rnacentral:rRNA from 1 species